rnacentral:rRNA from 1 species
AAAUUGAAGAGUUUGAUCAUGGCUCAGAUUGAACGCUGGCGGCAGGCCUAACACAUGCAAGUCGAACGGUAACAGGAAUCAGCUUGCUGAUUCGCUGACGAGUGGCGGACGGGUGAGUAAUGUCUGGGAAACUGCCUGAUGGAGGGGGAUAACUACUGGAAACGGUAGCUAAUACCGUAUAACGUCGCAAGACCAAAGAGGGGGACCUUCGGGCCUCUUGCCAUCGGAUGUGCCCAGAUGGGAUUAGCUAGUAGGUGGGGUAACGGCUCACCUAGGCGACGAUCCCUAGCUGGUCUGAGAGGAUGACCAGCCACACUGGAACUGAGACACGGUCCAGACUCCUACGGGAGGCAGCAGUGGGGAAUAUUGCACAAUGGGCGCAAGCCUGAUGCAGCCAUGC